rnacentral:rRNA from 1 species
UACGAAGGGGGGCUAGCGUUGCUCGGAAUCACUGGGCGUAAAGCGCACGUAGGCGGAUUCUUAAGUCAGGGGUGAAAUCCUGGAGCUCAACUCCAGAACUGCCUUUGAUACUGAGGGUCUUGAGUUCGGGAGAGGUGAGUGGAACUGCGAGUGUAGAGGUGAAAAUUCGUAGAUAUUCGCAAGAACACCAGUGGCGAAGGCGGCUCUCUGGACCGGUUCUGACGCUCAGGCGCGAAAGCGUGGGGAGCGAUCCGG